rnacentral:rRNA from 1 species
AGAGUUUGAUUAUGGCUCAGAACGAACGCUGGCGGCAGGCCUAACACAUGCAAGUCGAGCGCGCCCUUCGGGGUGAGCGGCGGACGGGUUAGUAACGCGUGGGAACGUACCCUUUGGUAGGGAAUAGCCACUGGAAACGGUGAGUAAUACCCUAUGAGCCCUUCGGGGGGAAAGAUUUAUCGCCAAAGGAUCGGCCCGCGUUAGAUUAGGUAGUUGGUGGGGUAAUGGCCUACCAAGCCUACGAUCUAUAGCUGGUUUUAGAGGAUGAUCAGCAACACUGGGACUGAGACACGGCCCAGACUCCUACGGGAGGCAGCAGUGGGGAAUCUUGGACAAUGGGGGCAACCCUGAUCCAGCCAUGCCGCGUGAGUGAAGAAGGCCUUAGGGUCGUAAAGCUCUUUCGCCUGUGAAGAUAAUGACGGUAGCAGGUAAAGAAACCCCGGCUAACUCCGUGCCAGCCGCCGC